rnacentral:rRNA from 1 species
GACGAACCGAGCGAACGUUGUUCGGAAUCACUGGGCUUAAAGGGUGCGUAGGCGGUUCGCUAAGUUGGAUGUGAAAACUAUGGGCUCAACCCAUAGCCUGCAUCCAAUACUGACGAACUAGAGUUCUGGAGGGGGUAGCGGAAUUCCUGGUGUAGCGGUGAAAUGCGUAGAUAUCAGGAGGAACACCGGUGGCGAAGGCGGCAUCCUGGACCGACACUGACGCUGAGGAGCGAAAGCCAGGGGAGCAAACGGG